rnacentral:rRNA from 1 species
GAGAGUUUGAUCCUGGCUCAGAAUCAACGCUGGCGGCGUGCCUAACACAUGCAAGUCGAACGAGAAAGUGGAGCAAUCCAUGAGUAAAGUGGCGUACGGGUGAGUAACACGUGACUAACCUACCCUUGAGUGGGGAAUAACUUCGGGAAACCGAGGCUAAUACCGCAUAACACCUUCGGGUCAAAGGAGCAAUUCGCUUAAGGAGGGGGUCGCGGCUGAUUAGCUAGUUGGUAGGGUAAUGGCCUACCAAGGCGAUGAUCAGUAUCCGGCCUGAGAGGGCGCACGGACACACUGGAACUGAAACACGGUCCAGACUCCUACGGGAGGCAGCAGUG